rnacentral:rRNA from 1 species
AACGAACGCUGGCGGCAUGCCUAACACAUGCCAGUCGAACGAGACCUUCGGGUCUAGUGGCGCACGGGUGCGUAACGCGUGGGAACCUGCCCUUAGGUUCGGAAUAACUCCCCGAAAGGGGUGCUAAUACCGGAUAAUGUCUUCGGACCAAAGAUUUAUCGCCUUUGGAUGGGCCCGCGUUGGAUUAGCUAGUUGGUAGGGUAAAAGCCUACCAAGGCGACGAUCCAUAGCUGGUCUGAGAGGAUGAUCAGCCACACUGGGACUGAGACACGGCCCAGACUCCUACGGGAGGCAGCAGUGGGGAAUAUUGGACAAUGGGCGAAAGCCUGAUCCAGCAAUGCCGCGUGAGUGAUGAGGGCCUUAGGGUUGUAAAGCUCUUUUACCCGGGAUGAUAAUGACAGUACCGGGAGAAUAAGCGCCGGCUAACUCCGUG